rnacentral:piRNA from 1 species
UAGAAACUUACAAAGGUUAAAUUGUGGUCC